rnacentral:misc_RNA from 1 species
GAUGAAGAACGCAGCGAAAUGCGAUACGUAAUGUGAAUUGCAGAAUUCAGUGAAUCAUCGAAUCUUUGAACGCAUAUUGCGCUCUUUGGUAUUCCGAAGAGCAUGCUUGUUUGAGUAUCAGUAAACACCUCAACCUCUUCAUGAUUUUUCAAAAGGAGGGUGGACUUGAGCUAUCCCAACAACCUUUACCGGUCGGCGGGCGGCUUGAAAUGCAGGUGCAGCUGGACUUUUAUCUGAGCUAAAAGCAUAUCUAUUUAGUCCUCGUCAAACAGGAUUAUUACUUUUGCUGCAGCUAACAUAAAGGAUAAUUGUCCUCUUUGCUGACUGAUGCAGGAUUUUACGACACUUUAUGUGUUGUUCAACUCGAUCUCAAAUCAAGUAAGACUACCCGCUGAACUUAAGCAUAUCAAUAAGCGGAGGA